GAUGAACGCUGGCGGCGUGCCUAAUACAUGCAAGUCGAGCGAACAGACGAGGAGCUUGCUCCUCUGACGUUAGCGGCGGACGGGUGAGUAACACGUGGAUAACCUACCUAUAAGACGGGGAUAACUUCGGGAAACCGGAGCUAAUACCGGAUAAUAUAUUGAACCGCAUGGUUCAAUAGUGAAAGACGGUUUUGCUGCCACUUAUAGAUGGAUCCGCGCCGCAUUAGCUAGUUGGUAAGGUAACAGCUUACCAAGGCAACGAUGCGUAGCCGACCUGAGAGGUUGUUCGGCCACACUGGAACUGGGCCACGGUCCAGACUCCUACGGGAGGCAGCAGUAGGGAAUCUUCCGCAAUGGGCGAAAGCCUGACGGAGCAACGCCGCGUGAGUGAUGAAGGUCUUCGGAUCGUAAACCUCUAUUAUUAGGGAAGAACAAAUGUGUAAGUAACUAUGCACGUCUUGACGGUACCUAAUCAGAAAGCCACGGCUAACUACGUG
rnacentral:rRNA from 1 species